UUGCACUGAUGAUGUAGAUAUGACUGAACUGGCAUUGCUGACCUCAGGGUCGGCUCUGGCCAGGAAAUGACCUCAGUUAAUCUUCUCUCUGAGCAG
ensembl:snoRNA